rnacentral:rRNA from 1 species
UAGGGAAUCUUCCACAAUGGGCGGAAAGACCUGAUGGAGCAACGCCGCGUGUGUGAUGAAGGGUUUCGGCUCGUAAAACACUGUUGUAAGAGAAGAAUGACAUUGAGAGUAACUGUUCAAUGUGUGACGGUAUCUUACCAGAAAGGAACGGCUAAAUACGUGCCAG